CGCUUUGGUUCUUCAGCACCUUUGAUCACGAUGCAAGCACAACAGGUCCGCGGCUAUGGCAGCUCCCAAGCAGCCAUGGGGUCACUGGUGAGUGGUGGCCCUAAAAUGCAGAAGAUACCAUCUCCCUCCACCAUAGUAUCUUCGUGAUACAUCCAACUACAACCCUGGAUCUCUCUCUCUCCAGCUCACUCUAUCUAUGUCAUGUUAGUUCGUUUAGUACACAAACUUUAUUGGUAUUUUUGAUGGUUUUGUAGAACACUACUAUGGGGAUGUUCCAGUUCAAUUUUAGGGUUCUACCAUUUUAUCGAUAAUCUACUAAAAUAUAUGGAAAUAUGAAGCGACUAUUAUGAACAGACUUGCGUUCAAUCUACAAUUCAAAAUUGAAAUAGGGCAUCUGCAUAGUGAUGGAUAAACAUUAGCCAGAGAUGGAGACAUCCAUACCCUUAAGGUGGAUUACUAAUUACAGGUGCCUCAUCGUGCUACUGUGUGUGAUGUUGAAUGCUCAACCUAACUUCAUCUUGAUUUUUCAUCGGUGUUCUACUACAAUGGAGAAUGCAACAUUCUGCUCCCUUGGGAUGAUCCAAGUUUGAAGACAUGUAAACCGGUGUGUUUUCCGGUUUGAAGAUAGAUGAUACCAUUUCAUUGUAUGUCUAUAUGCUAGAGGAGGAACUGAUUUUCAGUUUCCAACCUUGCAUGUGUAAAAAAUAUCCUGUAAGGUUAAGCACUUAUUAUCUCUUCAAAACAAUAACUUCACUUGGCAAAUGUAAGCUUCUAAUUAACUAAAUCUAUUGCCAACAAUAUGUUGUACUGAA